CCCUUAGAUGUCCUGGGCCGCACGCGCGUUACACUGAUGCAUUCAACGAGCUUAUAACCUUGGCCGAGAGGCCUGGGCAAUCUUGUUAACGUGCAUCGUGAUAGGGAAAGAUUAUUGAAAUUAUUAAUCUUGAACGAGGAAUUCCUAGUAAACGCAGAUCAUCAAUCUGCAUUGAUUACGUCCCUGCCCUUUGUACACACCGCCCGUCGCACCUACCGAUUGGAUGGUCCGGUGAAGCCUCGGGAUUGUGGUUCUUGCCGCUUUAUUGUGGCGUGACCGCGAGAACUUGUCUAAACCUUAUCAUCUAGAGGAAGGUGAAGUCGUAACA
rnacentral:rRNA from 1 species